rnacentral:rRNA from 1 species
GAGAGAUCUUUUUCUGAAGAUGAAAUCAAACAAGCUAUAAUGAGUUCUUUUGCCAGUGGUGCUCCUGGCCCUGAUGGCCUUUCUUUUUUAUUCUACCAAACUUUCUGGGAUUUAAUUAAAGAGGAUUUUAUGUGGAUGGUUAGAGAUUUUGAGAUUGGUGUUCUAGAUAUGUAUAAGCUGAACUAUGCCAUCAUUACCCUCAUUCCUAAAGUUCCUAUGGCUAGAGAUAUGAAAAACUUUAGACCUAUUAGUUUAAGCAAUUGUGCUGUUAAAAUUUUCUCCAAGGCCAUGACCACUAGGGUCUCCCCUUUGUGUGACAAACUUAUUUCAUCUAACCAAACUGCCUUUAUUAAAGGUAGGUUCAUUUUGGAAAGUGUGGUUAUGGCUCAUGAGGUCAUUCAUGAGAUUCAUAGGUCUGGUUCCAGUGGUUUAAUCCUUAAGCUAGACUAUGAGAAAGCCUAUGAUAGAGUAAGUUGGGAUUUUCUGAAGGAAAUGCUUCUUUCUAGAGGCUUUGGCAGUAAAUGGGUGGGGUGGGUGAUGUCUACUAUUCACCAGGGGACAUUC